rnacentral:lncRNA from 1 species
CUUUAAACUUGUGUUCCUUUUCAAAAACAAUAAAAUCAUCCAACACAGCCCAACAAUAUCGAAAAUAAUGUAAUAAUGGCUAUGAACCCAAAAACACAAGAACACAACAAUGAUUAAAUACAGAUAAUCGGAGCAUUAUUUUUCAGUCAGAUCUAAAAAAUUGUCGAAAUUACUGGAGCUUGGAGCUCUAAUUCGUCGUUGUUGAUUUCCUCCGGUCUACCGGAGUUAGGAUUUCACGGUGAUGGCUGGACACUGUUAGCGAUGUGGGUCUGGAUGAGAGAGCAGAGAGCAGAGUCAGUUUUCCUUUGACCCGUUCUUGGAAUCAGAGAGGAAGACCUAGCUCUAUCGAUCAAAAUAAAAUAAAAUAAAAAGGCCACCAGACUGAAGUUAGAGAUACAGUUCAUGUUUCAAGUAAUUAAAAUGAAAUUUUCAGUUGAGAAUGGUUGUAUCAUGGAUAUUAAUAUAUACCAAAAACUAUACUAAAUUAUUAGUACUAAAAAAAAGGAACACACACCUCUUUGGAAUCUUCUUAUGCCUCGCAUAGUUCACAAGGAACCAGCCACCAACAUUGAACUUUAUAUCGAGCAGGUAUGGGAAAAAUUAUAAAUUGAUGAAUAGUAAUGCCUAUGUAUCAACCUAUGUCAGCUUAAGAACAUUAUUGGAAUUUUUCGAAAGAACUUAAAGCUACGGAAUCCACAAGUUUAAAGAUGAAGAUGAAGAUGAACAAGAAUGAAGAUAGAACAAAA